ACGCUUAGGCGUGUGACUGCGUACCUUUUGUAUAAUGGGUCAGCGACUUAUAUUCUGUAGCAAGGUUAACCGAAUAGGGGAGCCGAAGGGAAACCGAGUCUUAACUGGGCGUUAAGUUGCAGGGUAUAGACCCGAAACCCGGUGAUCUAGCCAUGGGCAGGUUGAAGGUUGGGUAACACUAACUGGAGGACCGAACCGACUAAUGUUGAAAAAUUAGCGGAUGACUUGUGGCUGGGGGUGAAAGGCCAAUCAAACCGGGAGAUAGCUGGUUCUCCCCGAAAGCUAUUUAGGUAGCGCCUCGUGAAUUCAUCUCCGGGGGUAGAGCACUGUUUCGGCAAGGGGGUCAUCCCGACUUACCAACCCGAUGCAAACUGCGAAUACCGGAGAAUGUUAUCACGGGAGACACACGGCGGGUGCUAACGUCCGUCGUGAAGAGGGAAACAACCCAGACCGCCAGCUAAGGUCCCAAAGUCAUGGUUAAGUGGGAAACGAUGUGGGAAGGCCCAGACAGCCAGGAUGUUGGCUUAGAAGCAGCCAUCAUUUAAAGAAAGCGUAAUAGCUCACUGGUCGAGUCGGCCUGCGCGGAAGAUGUAACGGGGCUAAACCAUGCACCGAAGCUGCGGCAGCGACGCUGAUGCGUUGUUGGGUAGGGGAGCGUUCUGUAAGCCUGCGAAGGUGUGCUGUGAGGCAUGCUGGAGGUAUCAGAAGUGCGAAUGCUGACAUAAGUAACGAUAAAGCGGGUGAAAAGCCCGCUCGCCGGAAGACCAAGGGUUCCUGUCCAACGUUAAUCGGGGCAGGGUGAGUCGACCCCUAAGGCGAGGCCGAAAGGCGUAGUCGAUGGGAAACAGGUUAAUAUUCCUGUACUUGGUGUUACUGCGAAGGGGGGACGGAGAAGGCUAUGUUGGCCGGGCGACGGUUGUCCCGGUUUAAGCGUGUAGGCUGGUUUUCCAGGCAAAUCCGGAAAAUCAAGGCUGAGGCGUGAUGACGAGGCACUACGGUGCUGAAGCAACAAAUGCCCUGCUUCCAGGAAAAGCCUCUAAGCAUCAGGUAACAUCAAAUCGUACCCCAAACCGACACAGGUGGUCAGGUAGAGAAUACCAAGGCGCUUGAGAGAACUCGGGUGAAGGAACUAGGCAAAAUGGUGCCGUAACUUCGGGAGAAGGCACGCUGAUAUGUAGGUGAAGCGACUUGCUCGUGGAGCUGAAAUCAGUCGAAGAUACCAGCUGGCUGCAACUGUUUAUUAAAAACACAGCACUGUGCAAACACGAAAGUGGACGUAUACGGUGUGACGCCUGCCCGGUGCCGGAAGGUUAAUUGAUGGGGUUAGCGCAAGCGAAGCUCUUGAUCGAAGCCCCGGUAAACGGCGGCCGUAACUAUAACGGUCCUAAGGUAGCGAAAUUCCUUGUCGGGUAAGUUCCGACCUGCACGAAUGGCGUAAUGAUGGCCAGGCUGUCUCCACCCGAGACUCAGUGAAAUUGAACUCGCUGUGAAGAUGCAGUGUACCCGCGGCAAGACGGAAAGACCCCGUGAACCUUUACUAUAGCUUGACACUGAACAUUGAGCCUUGAUGUGUAGGAUAGGUGGGAGGCUUUGAAGUGUGGACGCCAGUCUGCAUGGAGCCGACCUUGAAAUACCACCCUUUAAUGUUU
rnacentral:rRNA from 1 species